UCUAUUUUAGAUGUAGCAGAACACAUGUUCGUAAUUGAUACACCUAGGCUCAGCUUCUCUAUUGGUAUGAAGGCGUGGAGCGUGAUUCUCUUGUUUUCAACUCGAGGCGAUCAGGUAGGCCCAUAUAGACACAGUAAAAGGCCUAUUUCUUUGUUCCAUGCCUUACAAAAAACAAGCAAGGCUGGCAUAAUAUUUCUGGUUCCCUUCUAUUGUGUGUCAAACAAUACCUUGCGGCGCAAGAGGAGGCGUAUUCUACCACGAAACUCUGGGCAACAAAAACUUCACCAAGAAAAGGCUUUCACUAUUAGCCCUAUAUGUUAGAUCCAAAUGCCAUUCUAUAGCACUAAUCUUUAUGCCAUUCUCUGUUAGAUCAAAAUGUUUCUCUGUUAGGCCCGUUUCUCUGUUAUGUUAGAUCAAAAUCUUGCUUUGUAUGAAAAAAAUGGCAUUCUCUGUUAGCCCUAUAUGUGGUUUGCUUGCUCAAUAUCGAUCUCAUUACCGCUUUGUUUGCUUCUGCUACUAUAUAGCACUAAUCUUUAUGCCAUACUGCUCUUAAUCAAGCUAAAUGCUUCUGCUUUGUGCUCAACUCCUAUUGCUAUUAAUCAGGAUAAAUGCUUCUGCUUUAUCAUAGGCCAGUAAACAUGCUAAGCUUGCCUGGCUGGCACACACGCUUAGGCACAACAAUCGGCCCCGGCACCGCGCGCCAAGGCGCGCUGCAGGUCAUUUAUAUAGCAUCUCUUAUUUGUAUAUUAUUCACAUAUAGCAUCUCAUUUCUUGGUUGAUUGCUUAUAUAUAUUCAGCUUCUGGCUCUUUUGCUCCCAAGCUGGCCUCGCUUUCCUCGGUGGUCAGCGGGAGAAGCAUGAGGCGCUGCACCUCUGACCCCGUAGUGCUCAGCUCCAAUUCAUCAGGGAGGCCAGCGGCAAGCAUCAAGUUUCCCUUGGUGCUUCCUCAUCAAGGAGGACGACUCGGGC
rnacentral:lncRNA from 1 species